rnacentral:lncRNA from 1 species
UAAGGGAUGUUUUUCAAGCAGCACCUACUCUGAACAGCCUUCUGCUGGGCCGGGGAUAGUGUCCUUAGGACCCGAAAUGCUGGGGGCUUUCCCUGAGUCUGGACAGAGUGCCAGAGUCAAUCUCCUCUAGCCCCAAAGGAAAGAACAGCCUUCAGACAAUAACGGGCGGAGGUUGGAGGAUUGGUACUCCUGCUCCUCUGCGUUCAGUGGAUCCCUCUACACUAUCUCCCAGACUCUUCAGCACGGCAUGAGUAAGCCCCCAGGGUCCACAGUUCUGCUUCACAGGGAACCCAAAUAAGACAAACAAAGGCCCAUGAGAACAUCUCCUGGAGGUCCUGCUCACCUAAGCUCACCUCAGGC